AACCAGCACCUCAAGUGGUCAGGAUGAUUAUUGGGCCUAAAGCAUCCGUAGCCGGCUCUGUAAGUUUUCGGUUAAAUCUGUACGCUUAACGUACAGGCUGCCGGGAAUACUGCAGAGCUAGGUAGUGGGAGAGGUAGACGGUACUCGGUAGGAAGGGGUAAAAUCCUUUGAUCUAUUGAUGACCACCUGUGGCGAAGGCGGUCUACCAGAACACGUACGACGGUGAGGGAUGAAAGCUGGGGGAGCAAACCGGAUUAGAUACCCGGGUAGUCCCAGCUGUAAACUAUGCAAACUCAGUGAUGCAUUGGCUUGUGGCCAAUGCAGUGCUGCAGGGAAGCCGUUAAGUUUGCCGCCUGGGAAGUACGUACGCAAGUAUGAAACUUAAAGGAAUUGGCGGGGGAGCACCACAAGGGGUGAAGCCUGCGGUUCAAUUGGAGUCAACGCCAGAAAUCUUACCCGGAGAGACAGCAGAAUGAAGGUCAAGCUGAAGACUUUACCAGACAAGCUGAGAGGUGGUGCAUGGCCGUCGCCAGCUCGUGCCGUGAGAUGUCCUGUUAAGUCAGGUAACGAGCGAGAUCCCUGCCUCUAGUUGCCACCAUUACUCUCAGGAGUAGUGGGGCGAAUUAGCGGGACCGCCGCAGUUAAUGCGGAGGAAGGAAGGGGCCACGGCAGGUCAGUAUGCCCCGAAACUCUGGGGCCACACGCGGGCUGCAAUGGUAACGACAAUGGGUUUCGAAUUCGAAAGGAUGAGGUAAUCCUCAAACGUUAUCACAGUUAUGACUGAGGGCUGCAACUCGCCCUCACGAAUAUGGAAUCCCUAGUAACUGCGUGUCACUAUCGCGCGGUGAAUACGUCCCUGCUCCU
rnacentral:rRNA from 1 species